AGAACCCUGUUCACCAAAUACAAGCA
rnacentral:piRNA from 1 species